rfam:Felis catus isolate Cinnamon breed Abyssinian chromosome B2, whole genome shotgun sequence.
GCCUGGGUGGCGCAGUCGGUUGAGCGUCUGACUUCAGCUCAGGUCAUGAUCUCAUAGUUUGUGAGUUCAAGCCCCGCAUCAGGCU